CCUACGACUAGUCAGAGCACUCCUACGGGAGGCAGCAGUGGGGAAUAUUGCACAAUGGGGGAAACCCUGAUGCAGCCAUGCCGCGUGUGUGAAGAAGGCCUUCGGGUUGUAAAGCACUUUCAGUAGGGAGGAAGGUAGUGUAGUUAACACCUGCACUAUUUGACGUUACCUACAGAAGAAGCACCGGCUAACUCCGUGCCAGCAGCCGCGGUAAUACGGAGGGUGCGAGCGUUAAUCGGAAUUACUGGGCGUAAAGCGCAUGCAGGCGGCCUGUUAAGUCAGAUGUGAAAGCCCCGGGGCUUAACCUCGGAAUUGCAUUUGAAACUGGCAGGCUAGAGUCUUGUAGAGGGGGUAGAAUUUCAGGUGUAGCGGUGAAAUGCGUAGAGAUCUGAAGGAAUACCAGUGGCGAAGGCGGCCCCCUGGACAAAGACUGACGCUCAGAUGCGAAAGCGUGGGGAGCAAACAGGAUUAGAUACCCUGGUAG
rnacentral:rRNA from 1 species